rnacentral:misc_RNA from 1 species
AAAGUCGUAACAAGGUCUCCGUAGGUGAACCUGCGGAGGGAUCAUUCACAUGAUUUAUCUUUAAACAAACCGUGAACUUUAUAUACUAUUCGUGUUAGUAUAACAUUUAUGUUAUAUUAAUACUGUCAUUCGAUCUGAACAUAAGAUAGUUGGCUUGUUUUUGUUAACACAAAACUUUCUCAGCUUGAUUGUUAUGUAUAACUAAACAUUAUACUUUCAAUCACCAAUAAAACAUAGAAACAACUCUAUGCCCUGGAUAUCUUGGUUCUC